UAUGGCAAAUGUGAGAUGCAGUGUAUGGAAUGUCAAAUUUCUAGUAUGAGAAAUUAACGAUUUAAGUCCUUCUUAAAUGAGGCCAUUUACCCAUAGAGGGUGCCAGGCCCGUAUAACGUUAAUGAUUACUAGAUGGCAUUUCCAAAGAGUCGUGUUGCUUGAUAGUGCAGCACUAAGUGGGUGGUAAACUCCAUCUAAAACUAAAUAUAACCAUGAGACCGAUAGUAAACAAGUACCGUGAGGGAAAGUUGAAAAGAACUCUGAAUAGAGAGUUAAAUAGUACGUGAAACUGCUUAGAGGUUAAGCCCGAUGAACCUGAAUAUCCAUUAUAGAAAAUUCAUCAUUAUGAUUUUAAUAUUUAUAAUAUUAUAAUAAUGGUGUGCAUUUUUUCUAUAACGGACAUUGUAAUCUAUUAACAUAAAUAUAUUUAUCAUAAGAUCAAGGAUGCGUAAGUUUAUUCAAAUUAUUUUGCUUGCAAUUUAACAUAGAAUAAAUGCUCUUGAUUUGAUAAAGUGUUGAUAGAUUUAUUGUAUAUAGUGCUUAAAUAUUUAUAUUUUAUAAUAGCAUAUUAAUCAUUGAUUUUUAUGUUUAUUAUAUGCACUUAUAUGAUUAACAAUGCGAAAGAUUCAGGAUACCUUCGGGACCCGUCUUGAAACACGGACCAAGGAGUCUAACAUAUUUGCAAGUUAUUGGGUAUCAAAACCUAAUAGCGAAAUUAACAUAACUUUAAUGGGAUUAGUUUUUAGAUUAUUUUUUAGUCUAUUAAUUCAAUCCCGGGGCGUUCUAUAUAGUUAUGUAUAAUAAUAUUUAUAUUAUUUAUACCUCUAACUAGAGCGUACCUUGAGCAUAUAUGCUGUGACCCGAAAGAUGGUGAACUAUACUUGAUCAGGUUGAAGUCAGGGGAAACCCUGAUGGAAGACCGAAACAGUUCUGACGUGCAAAUCGAUUGUCAGAAUUGAGUA
rnacentral:rRNA from 1 species